rnacentral:lncRNA from 1 species
GCUGAUAAUAAAGUGGAUGUAAUAGGCAUUCUUGAAACCAGAGUAAAAGAACAUAAAGCUAAGAAUAUAAUUGGGAAAAUUGCUAAGGGCUGGCAGUGGAAGUGUAACUAUGAAAAGGCUAUAAAUGGGAGAAUAUGGCUACUAUGGAAGUCUCAUAUCCACAUUCAAAUAGGAACUUUAUCUGAUCAGUAUCUUCAUUGUCUGGUGGAGGGGCUACUAUGGAAGUCUCAUAUCCACAUUCAAAUAGGAACUUUAUCUGAUCAGUAUCUUCAUUGUCUAGUGGAGGAUACAAGAAGUCUUAUAAGAUUUCAGUUCAGUAUUAUAUAUGCACAAAACACUGCUUAGGGCACAACUAUGGAGGGACCUCAAGUCAAUUCCU